rnacentral:rRNA from 1 species
UACGUAGGUGGCAAGCGUUGUCCGGAAUUACUGGGUGUAAAGGGAGCGCAGGCGGGAAGCCAAGUCAGCUGUGAAAACUACGGGCUUAACUUGUAGACUGCAGUUGAAACUGGUUUUCUUGAGUGAAGUAGAGGUUGGCGGAAUUCCGAGUGUAGCGGUGAAAUGCGUUGAUAUUCGGAGGAACACCGGUGGCGAAGGCGGCCAACUGGGCUUUAACUGACGCUGAGGCUCGAAAGUGUGGGGAGCAAACAGG